AGACGUCUACAUUAGAUACCCCCGUAGUCCCAGCCGUAAACUAUACGCGUUAGGUGUAUCGGUGACCACGAGUCACCGAGGUGCCGAAGGGAAACCGUGAAACGUGCCGCCUGGGAAGUACGGUCGCAAGGCUGAAACUUAAAGGAAUUGGCGGGGAGCACCACAACGGGUGGAGCCUGCGGUUUAAUUGGACUCAACGCCGGGAAGCUCACCGGAUAAGACAGCGGAAUGAUUGCCGGGCUGAAGACUCUGCAUGACUAGCUG
rnacentral:rRNA from 1 species